UACGUAGGUGGCAAGCGUUGUCCGGAUUUAUUGGGCGUAAAGGGCGUGUAGGCGGCCUGGUAAGUGGAGGGUGAAACCCCGCGGCUCAACCGCGGGCCUGCCUUUCAAACUGCUGGGCUUGAGUGUCGGAGAGGGCAGUGGAAUUCCCGGUGUAGCAGUGAAAUGCGUAGAGAUCGGGAGGAACCCCAGUGGCGAAGGCGACUGCCUGGACGAUAACUGACGCUGAGGCGCGAAAGCUGGGGGAGCAAACGGG
rnacentral:misc_RNA from 1 species